rnacentral:rRNA from 1 species
AUUGAACGCUGGCGGCAGGCCUAACACAUGCAAGUCGAGCGAGUGGCGGACGGGUGAGUAAUGUAUGGGGAACUGCCCGAUAGAGGGGGAUAACUACUGGAAACGGUGGCUAAUACCGCAUACACUCGGAUGAACCCAUAUGGGAUUAGCUAGUGGGUGGGGUAAAGGCUCACCAAGGAGACGAUCUCUAGCUGGUCUGCGAGGAUGACCAGCCACACUGGUACUGAGACACGGCCCAGACUCCUACGGGAGGCAGCAGUGGGGAAUAUUGCACAAUGGGCGCAAGCCUGAUGCAGCCAUGCCGCGUGUAUGAAGAAGGCCUUAGGGUUGUAAAGUACUUUCAGCGGGGAGGCGUUACCCGCAGAAGAAGCACCGGCUAACUCCGUGCCAGCAGCCGCGGUAAUUC